rnacentral:tRNA from 1 species
UAUAUAUUAAUGUAAAUAUGCAUAUAAAAAUUUGAAUUUUAUUGGAAUAGUUUAAUUCUAUUAUAUAUAA